CGCCGUCUCGGAGGCGCGGCGGAGGCAGCAGCCCCGGUGGCGAGGCCGAGCGCGCAGAGAUGCGGCCGGGUGGCGGGGGAGGCGGCUCGCGGGGCUCGCGAGGUCCCCCGGUCCACCCGCGCCUUGGGCCCGGCCUGGCGCAGGCCCGCCUUUGGCCCUGGGAGGCGCUGGCUGUUGUCGGGGGAUGAGGAGUGACAGAGGCACCCCAGCCCUUAGCCUACUCAUGAGUGGAAUAGUUCCAUCAUUUUCUUUGGCUGUCUUAACUUCAUUAUCCGGGUUCUGCUGGCUUUGUGGAAUGAGGCAUCCAUAAGACAUUAUCCUAGACUGGGUGGUGGUUUAUCAACACUACAACUUUGUUUCUCAUAGUUCUGGAGACUGGGGAUGGAAAAGACAAGAGUGCCGGAGCACUUGGUGCCAGUGACAGCCCAUUCUCUGGUUUGUUGAUAGUACUGUUCUGGAGUGUUCUCACAGGUCAAAGGGCAGGGGAGUUCUCUGUGCUGUUGUUUAUAAGGGCAUUACUUCCAUUCACAAGAACUCUGGUGUUUGUCACACUAAUGAAAAGCUAAUUAAAAAGAAUAACAUUCUACCAUUUGCAACAAAAUGGUCCCAACUUAAGAACAUCAUGCUCAAUGAAAUGAGACAAAUAUCAUAUAUGCUCUCUGAUAUAAGGCAACCCUCAUACAAAAUACAAGAUCAAGAGGUAUACAGUAAAUAUGUAUAUACAUAUAUUCAUCUAGAGACUAGUAUACAGAGAAGUGAAGAUAUAUUGCAGUAUGCUUCCCUACUCCCGAAUCAAAGAAGGACUCCCAAUGAAACUGACAAUAGGAUGCUGGACUUUCUACCAUUCUCUGUAUCUACAGUGUCGGGAUACACUUAAAUAGCAGGAUGAUGGACUUGGGACUGUUGCUGAAGGACUAUAUAAUUGUAAUAAUAUAGGGAGAAUUAGGGAAAAAUCCCUGAGCCUAUGGAACUGUAUCAUGAAAUAUAAAAAUUAAAAAUAAAAGCUUAACAAAAGUUCCCAUCUAAAGAGUAUACUGAAAGUUGUUAUCCCAAAUUCAUAUUAGAUUUUGUCAAAUGAUACAUUCAUGAGAUUCUGACUCAUAGCAUGCUGAGUUACACUGAACCAACCUAUGUUUUUGAAAUAAACCUCACUUGGUUAUUAUGUACUAUUACUAUUAUUAUUUAAAAAGAUUUGUUUGAGACUACCAUAUUUAGGUAUGAAGAAACAAUGCAAUAUAUAACUUUACUUCCAAAUCAAAGAUGGACUCCCAAUGAAACU